UUAGGAAUUUUGCGCAAUGGACGAAAGUCUGACGCAGCAACGCCGCGUGUGGGAUGAAGGCCUUCGGGUUGUAAACCACUUUUAGUUGGAACGAAAAAAAUGACGGUACCAACAGAAAAAGCACCGGCUAACCCUGUGCCAGCAGCCGCGGUAAUACAGGGGGUGCAAGCGUUAUUCGGAAUUAUUGGGCGUAAAGAGCGUGUAGGCGGCUUAUUAAGUCUGAUGUGAAAGCCCCGGUCUCAAGCCGGGAAGUGCAUCGGAUACUGAUUAGCUAGAGUACAGGAGAGGUUGGCGGAAUUCCUGGUGUAGAGGUAAAAUUCAUAGAUAUCAGGAGGAACAACAGAGGCGAAGGCGGCCAACUGGACUGUUACUGACGCUAAGGCGCGAAAGCGUGGGGAGC
rnacentral:rRNA from 1 species